UACGGGAACCGGUUAAUAAUUUGAGUGAAGUCGCAAGAUGGAUCAAUGAUUAUUUUCCGGUUUUAGUGGCAAACGGGUGAAUAAUGCUUGAGCAACCUGCCCUUAAGAGGGGGAUAACCUCGGGAAACCGGGACUAAUACCCCAUACAGCCCUCCGGUGCAACACUGGAGGAUGAAAGGACCCCGCAAGGGGUCGCUUAGGGAUGGGCUCAUGUCCUAUCAGCUUGUUGGCGGGGUAACGGCCCACCAAGGCUAUGACGGGUAGCUGGCCUGAAAGGGUGAACAGCCACACUGGCACUGAGAUACGGGCCAGACUCCUACGGGAGGCAGCAGUGGGGAAUUUUGGACAAUGGGCGAAAGCCUGAUCCAGCAACGCCGCGUGAGGGAUGAAGGCCUUAGGGUCGUAAACCUCUUUUAUGGGGGAUGAGUGCCCCGACGCAAGUCGGGGAGGGACAGUACUCCAUGAAUAAGCCACGGCUAACUACGUGCCAGCAGCCGCGGUAAUACGUAGGUGGCAAGCGUUACUCGGAUUUACUAGGUGUAAAGGGCAGGUAGGUGGUCCGGUAAGUUGAGGGUGAAAGCUCCGAUAAAAUCGGAGAGGUCUCUCAAUACUCCCGGGCUUGAGUGCGGUAGGGGGAACCAGAAUUCCCGGUGUAGCGGUGAAAUGCGUAGAUAUCGGGAGGAAUACCGAUGGCGAAAGCGGGUUCCUGGGCCGUAACUGACACUGAGCUGCGAAAGCGUGGGGAGCAAACAGGAUUAGAUACCCUGAUAGUCCACGCUGUAAACGAUGGAAACUUGAUAUAGGAGGUAUCGACCCCUCCUGUGUCGUAGCUAACGCGUUAAGUUUCCCACCUGGGGACUACGGCCGCAAGGUUGAAACUCAAAGGAAUUGACGGGGGCCCGCACAAGCGGUGGAGCAUGUGGUUUAAUUCGACGCAACGCGAAGAACCUUACCUGGGCUUGAAGUGCCGGUUGUAGUCCGACGAAAGAUCGGACGACCCGCAAGGGAGCCGGUAGAGGUGCUGCAUGGUUGUCGUCAGCUCGUGUCGUGAGAUGUAUGGUUAAGUCCCAUAACGAGCGCAACCCUUGCCUCAUGUUGCUAAUCCGGCGCAAGCCGGAUGCACUCUUGAGGGACCGCCUCCGUUGAGGGGGAGGAAGAUGAGGAUGACGUCAAAUCAUCAUGGCCUUUAUGUCCAGGGCCACACACGUGCUACAAUGGCUACUACAGAUGGCAACCAACCCGCAAGGGGGAGUUAACCCAAUAAAAGUAGCCUCAGUUCAGAUCGAGGGCUGCAACUCGUCCUCGUGAAGGCGGAAUCGCUAGUAAUCGCUGAUCAGCAGGCAGCGGUGAAUACGUUCCCGGGCCUUGUACACACCGCCCGUCACACCAUGGAAGCUGGCUAUAACAGAAUCCUGGAGUUUUCCGGGAGAAGUUAUGACCAGUGACUGGGGUGAAGUCGUAACAAGGUAGACGUACGAGAACG
rnacentral:rRNA from 1 species